rnacentral:ncRNA from 1 species
CAUUUCUGGAGAGAUUCAUAGGAUGAACGCCGAAGGUGUAAGGCAGUACGGUACUGCUGAUCUCUCAGGCAAAAGGACAGGAGGA